UGUUGGUUUCUGCUUUCCUUCACUGUGCAGCUCUGCUUGUCACGAGACAGGUGUUUACAUUCCACAGUCUGUACUGUUGGAGUUUCUCACGGGAAAGGGAGACUGGAUGUGACGUACACUGGUUUCCUGUUUUUCACUGUGUGAUUCUCUCCGAGCUGUUGAGGAGAGAGGAUGCAUUUUCUGCUCCGGCAGAGGCAAGAUGUCUUUCUGUAAUAUACCAGCUUUGAACUGUAAAUAAAGCAAUAUAGAGUAUGCAGCACGUAUUCCUCAUCCUUCCGCUGGGCACGAGACUCUGCUUUAAAUCAACACGUGGUUAUGGGCUCCAGAAGUCGAAUCGGAGUGCCGGCAAAGGAUCGGAAUGCAGAGGGACAGAUCGGAACGGAAUCUGCUCUGCGCGUAGAAGUGAUUGAUGAGGUAUGUGCUACUGCUCCGGGCAGCCUGCCAGCUUCAAGUUAAUGGCUUUAUGGCUGGACUUUGAACUUUUAAAGCCGGUUUUGCCGGGAAUAGGCAAAAGGCUCCCAGGCACAAGUCACUAUGCUGGGGAAAUCGAAAGUAACUUUUAAGUGCGCCUUUGUAAUAAGGCAGCUGCAGCAGUGACGCAGCAAGAUUUAAAGCAGCAUAUAUAUGACGCUGAAGGCUAAUGCCAGAGUCAUGAUGGCCCUUCAGGAUGCUUGUGGGAUUCCUAAGCUCAACAAGAAAAAUUACAGCGACUGGGUUCAGUAUGCAGAGGCAAUUCUGCGGAAAGAGGGUUUGUUUGAGGUGAUUACAGAAACCCACCAGUUCCAGUUACAGAUGCAUGGAAAGCUAAGGAUUCCAAAGCAAGGGGAACUCUUACAUUGAUAGUAUCCCCAGAAGAGCUCUGUCUAUUGCGUGAUAAGACCUCAGCCAGAGAAAUUUGGGACGCUUUGAGAGAGGCUCACUUAAGGACAGAAGCUGGAUCCACUAUGUUUUACUUUAACAAGCUGCAUAAUAUGGCUCUUGCUGAAGGUGGAGAUGUGCGUUUACAUCUGAUGGAGAUGCAAAAUCUGAGACAUGAGCUGCAACAGAGAGGACUCAACUUUCCAGAGGCUGUGUAUUCUUUCAUGAUACUACAAUCUUUGGGUUCAGGUUGGGAGUCUGUUGCAACCCAGAUUGCUGUGCAACCAACUGCUCAGCUGACAGUGGACUUUGUUACUGCCGUGAUUUUAAAUGAAGCAGAUCGCCGGGGUGCUAGCUGCAUGGGCAAGGGGAGUCUUCACAGACGUCAUCCCAUAGUGCAGUGGAACCACCAGAUGGCGCCAAAGCUUUGAAGGCAGUGAAAUGCUACUCGUGUGGACGUCUAGGCCAUAUGAAGAGGGAAUGCAGACAUCCCAGGGCCAAGACAGAGCAGCGCAGCGAAAGCUCAUCGCGCGGAAAAGGCCGAGGCAAAGGCAAAGGUCCGGUGUCAGGGACAACGCAGCACAAGGCUAUGGUUUCACGCUUCACUCCAAAGGUUGCAGAGGUCCAGAAGACGUCUAGAUCUUUCUUCGUUGUUGAUUCAGCGGCCACCCACCACAUGUGCAACGAUAAGAAACUGUUUGUGUCUUUUACACCGCAGGAAGGUGCGAUUCACCAGGCGGAUGACCACACUAUUCCCAGUAAAGGCUACGGAACUGUUGUUCUUCACAGUUUGGACUUAUCGAUACAGAAUGUGCUUUACGUGCCAGACGCCAAACAUAAUCUGCUCAGCGUUGGACAGCUGAAUGAGCGGAACAUUGACGUUUCCUUCAAGAACAAGAAGUGCAUCAUCACAAAGAAAAAUGAUUAUGUAUUGCAUGCAGAAUAUGUUGAUCGUUUGUUUGUUUUGUAUUAUGAUGAUGUGGUGCAGGAUGACACUUGUUGCAUUGCAGGUUCUAACAAAAGUUUGCAUGCAGAAUGUAUUCACGAUUUUCAUAGAAAAUUUGGUCAUUUGCAUUUUGAGGCAGUAUCUAAAAUGCCUGCCUUGGUUGAAGGUAUGACUAUUAAACCCUGCAGGUACCACAUGAAGUGCAAAGCAUGCGCAGCAAACAAAGUGAAAAUGGCUGCGAAAGGUAAGGUGUCUAGUAGGAAAGCUACAGAACCAUACCAGGUUGUUCAUGCUGAUUUGGUUGGACCACUAGCGCCCUCUUUGGGUGGAAAUAGAUACUUCAUGGUUCUCAUUGAUGCAUUUUCUAGAUAUAUUUUUGUGUACAAUCUCAAGCAGAAAUCGGAGGCUUUUCCUAGGUUCAAGGAAUUCUGUGCUUGGUUGGAAAAUGUGCAUGGUAAGAAGAUAAAGACUCUUUUCUGUGAUCGCGGGGGGGUAUUCACUUCUCAGCAGUUUGAAGCUUUUCUGACUGAGAAAGGAAUUCAACACGAUUUGUCUAGUCCUCGCUCGCCAUGGCAGAAUGGACUUGCGGAACGGGCAAAUCAGACAUUGCUUCAAGGGUUAAAAACCUUGCUGCAUGAUGCCAAUCUUCCAGAGAGUUAUUGGGCCGAAUCUCUCUCGUGUUUUGUUUACAGUUACAAUCGCAGGUUAUCUUCAGCGAUUGGUUGUACCUCUAUGAGAAGAUGUUUGGCAAGAAGCCAUACAUCAAACACAUGAAGAUUUUUGGUUCUGACAUGUGGGUUCGCUCACCACAAAACUCCAAGUUAGACAAGCGUGGAUUGCAUGGUAUCUUUCUAGGUUAUCAGAAAGGGUCUUACAGAAUAAUGAUGACUGACUCUAAGACAAUUAAGCUCACGAGAAGUGUUGAGUACAAUGCAAAGUGGGGGAGAAUGUGGGAAUUUUCCAAUGUUAUCCUGAUGACGGUGAUGAGACUGAGGAUAGUCAAAAGCAACCACAACAACCCACACCCACUGAUGAAGGUUCUGAGUCUGAAUCUGAAACUGAAUCGGGUGAUUCAGAGGAUUUCAAGAGUGCGAAAGCCUCUAUGCGACCCUCUGAAAGCUCUGAUCAAGAAUUGGAGGAACCAUUGUUCACAAUAGGUCGUUUUUCUCCUAAGAAGGAAGAGGAGAGUGUUGAAGACUUAAGGCUAAUUCGUAGGUCACAGAGAGCCACAAAAGGCAAACCUCCAAAGAGAUUUGCUGAUGAGUUUGCUACGAUAGCAGUAACAGCUGUUAAAAGCUCCAAGAAGGUAUUUGAACCUUCAAGUUUCCAAGAAAUCCAGGGUUUGGAUUCAAAGGAAGCUGAGCCAUGGUUAAAUGCCAUGAAGGCUGAGCUUGAUUCCUUAGAAAGGAACAAAACAUGGGAGCUAGUUCCAGUAGUUCCAGGAAUGAAACUGCUUGGAAGCAAAUGGGUCUUCAAAGCGAAGACAGAUCAAAAUGGCAAGAUAGUCAGACACAAAGCCAGAUUGGUAGCCAGAGGUUUUGCACAGGUACCAGGUCAAGACUAUCACGAGACCUAUUCACCCACAGUGAGAUAUGAAAGCAUUAGGCUUAUGCUCAAGCUAGCUGCAGAGGAAAAUCUACACAUUAGUCACCAUGAUAUUAAUACAGCUUUUCUGUACGGAUCUCUAGAUGAAUCACUUUAUAUGCUUCCACCUGAUGGCGUACAGGUAAAACAGGGAUUUGUUUGUGCUCUGAAGAAAUCCCUUUAUGGUCUCAAACAAAGUGCACGGUGUUGGCACACAAAACUCACUGAAGUAUUGUUUUCUCUAGGUUUUCAGCAAGGGAAAGCUGAUCCAUGUGUAUUUGUCAAAGAGGAGGGGCAAAAGAAACUGUACUGUUUGUUUUAUGUUGAUGAUUUAUUAUUCUUUUGGAAAGAUGUCGCAAUGUACAAUAACGCCCUAGCUCAACUGAAAGAGCACUUUGACAUGAAAGAUCUUGGUGAGGUAAACAACUACCUAUCUCUGGAAAUAGAGAGAGAUCAAGAUGGUAACAUUCUAGUACACCAGUCACGGAAAAUUGCUGAUGUGUUAAGCAAACUAAAUCUGAUGGAUGCUAACCCUGUAGACACACCGAUGACAACAGGUUAUCAGGUAGAUGACACUGAAGAAGCAUUUUCUGACACUACACUGUACAGGAGUGUGCUAGGCAAGCUAAACUUCAUUGCCAGAUGUUCAAGACCAGACAUUGCUGUUAGCUGUAAUUUGCUAAGCAGACAAGUCAACAAUCCUAGUGUCAAGCAUUGGAAAGCUCUGAAACGCAUAGCGCGGUAUUUGAAAGGCACUAUGCAUUACAGACUGAGAUUUAACAAUCAGAAGUCUGGUGGUCUUGAGAUAUUUGCAGAUGCAAGUUUUGGAAGUGACGCUACAGACAGGAAAGGUACGUCUGGAGUUUGCUACAUGUACAAUCAGAGUCUGUUUGAUUGGUCAUGCAAGAAGCAAACAACAGUUAGCUUAAGUACUUGUGAAGCCGAACUGAAUGCACUGUCUUAUUCACUUAAGGAUUGUGAAUGGUUAGUACAAUUGUGCAAAGAUAUGAAAAUUCCUGUCAAAUGUCCAAUCCAGGUUUACCAGGACAACAAAGCAUGUUUGGCUUUGCUGAAGUCUGAAGGUUGUAAGCAAAGCACAAAGCACUUGCAAUUAAAGUUGCAGCAUGCUAGGGAAUGUAUUCAGAAGGGACUCGUAACGGUGUCCUAUAUGCCAGGUAAUGAAAUUCCUGCUGAUGUAUUGUCCAAGAUUGUAUCAAGGGAUCAACACUGUACCUAUGUGCAGAAGUUGGGUUUGUACUGAUAUUGUACAAACACGCUGCCCAGUGAUGUUCACAGAAAGGGGGAGGAUGUUGGUUUCUGCUUUCCUUCACUGUGCAGCUCUGCUUGUCACGAGACAGGUGUUUACAUUCCACAGUCUGUACUGUUGGAGUUUCUCACGGGAAAGGGAGACUGGAUGUGACGUACACUGGUUUCCUGUUUUUCACUGUGUGAUUCUCUCCGAGCUGUUGAGGAGAGAGGAUGCAUUUUUCUGCUCCGGCAGAGGCAAGAUGUCUUUCUGUAAUAUACCAGCUUUGAACUGUAAAUAAAGCUAUAUAGAGUAUGCAGCACGUAUUCCUCAUCCUUCCGCUGGGCACGAGACUCUGCUUUAAAUCAACACGU